GGAAUGUGGCUCAUGUGGUAUCGCGCUCGCCUGGCAUGCGUGCGGCCUGGGUUCGAUCCUCAGCACCA
rnacentral:tRNA from 1 species